rnacentral:rRNA from 1 species
CUACGGGGCGCUGCAGUGAGGAAUAUUGCACAAUGGGGGGAACCCUGAUGCAGCAACGCCGCGUGGAGGAUGACGCAUUUCGGUGUGUAAACUCCUUUUAUAUGUCAAGAAAAUGACGGUAGCAUAUAAAUAAGCACCGGCUAACUCCGUGCCAGCAGCCGCGGUAAUACGGAGGGUGCAAGCGUUACUCGGAAUCACUGGGCGUAAAGGACGCGUAGGCGGGUUGGAAAGUCAGGUGUGAAAUCCUACAGCUUAACUGUAGAACUGCACUUGAAACUUCUAAUCUAGAGUAUGGGAGGGGGAGAUGGAAUUAGUGGUGUAGGGGUACAAUCCGUAGAUAUCACUAGGAAUACCUAAAGCGAAGGCGAUCUCCUGGAACAUUACUGACGCUAAGGCGUGAAAGCGUGGGGAGCAAACAGGAUUAGAUACCCCAGUAGUC